UAGAUAUUUGAUUUAAAUGCGUGAAUCUCUAUCAACCAUUCAGACGGCAAAUAAAAACCAUGUAUUUUCCAAAACCGCAUUUUCUUCAUCUUCUCCAUUAGGUUAUGAAGAUUUUCUUAAGAUUGCUUAAUUGAAUUGUACAUCAAUCUUCUGCAAUCAAAUAUUCCCUCUUUAUUGGAUAUGGUUCUAAUUCAUGAAGGAGUGAUGAAACCUGUUAACACACUUAAAGGACAUGGUGUAGAGGAAGACGAUCCUCUUACUGAAUAGGCCCAUUGUGGUUCUGCAUCAUUGAAUCAAUGAUUUACCACAGGUUUGAAUCGGCAACAUACCGCCGCUGUUUGAAGAGCCUGACAUGAUCAAGCGCAUUGCGUUGGUGGCUGAUCUUUAUUUCAAUCCACUGAGAGCAAUAAGGGUGGCAAAUCGAUCAUUCUACAUGAGAAGAUCUUCAACUCUAAGCAGUCUAAGGAAGUACCAGAUCAAGCAUUGGCGUUAACUAUGUUUGAUGCAUCGGCCAAAAAUACUACAGAGCCUGCUAGCCAUGAUCCAGGUACGUGCAUGGAACUUGUGAAUGGGAAUGAGGAUGUGGUUAGUCCAAAUAGCAAUGCUGAAAUGGCUCUUGAGGAGCAGACAGGUAUGCUUGAGCUGGCUGUAGGAAAAGAAAAACAAAAUAGAGGUGACAAGCGUACCCAACCUCCCUCUCCUGCCAAGUCUCCACAGAAACUCAAAAUACUGCUGCCUGAACUUUUCAAACCACUUCUGACUGAGGUGCCAGCAAAAAAGCAAAAAAUGCCAAUGUUCACAAGCAAAUUCUCUACUAGAUCCUUGGGUAUGAUUGAAGCUCCAGGGAACAUUCUUGUGCCAAAAGAUGUGAUGCAGCCAAAGCCUGAACCAAAGAAGAAAAGGGGAAGGCCUCUGGGAUCCAGGAAUAAAAAUCCCCCAAAAUCAAAGAAGAUUGUGGAAGCACAAGAACAAUGUUUAGCUUAUCUUUCCAAACCUCCUAGCCCAACUAUUAAGGGCAAGGAGAAAAUUUAUAAGUUUAGUUUUUAUUUCUGAAUUUGCCUAAUUGCUAUGUGUUACUUUUUAUAGUUCUUAGGCUCGUUGAAUAAGUGAGCACUGGUUGUCUAAUGUGUG